rnacentral:rRNA from 1 species
UACAGAGGGUGCAAGCGUUGUUCGGAAUUAUUGGGCGUAAAGCGCGUGUAGGCGGCUUUGCAAGUCGGGUGUGAAAGCCCUCAGCUCAACUGAGGAAGUGCGCCCGAAACUGCAGAGCUUGAGUACCGGAGAGGAUGGCGGAAUUCCCCAAGUAGAGGUGAAAUUCGUAGAUAUGGGGAGGAACACCGGUGGCGAAGGCGGCCAAUCUGGACGGUCGACUGACGCUGAGACGCGAAAGCGUGGGGAGCGAACAGG